AAAAUGCCUCUCGGCAAUGGAUAUCUCGGCUCUCGCAUCGAUGAAGAGCGCAGCGAAAUGCGAUACGUGGUGCGAAUUGCAGAAUCCCGUGAACCAUCGAGUCUUUGAACGCAAGUUGCGCCCGAGGCCAACCGGCUAAGGGCACGUCUGCCUGGGCGUCAAGC
rnacentral:rRNA from 2 species